UCGGUAUCAAUAUGGACACCCUGGGGGAGCCCGGGGUGGUUAGGUUGGUUAACGAGGGCUGGACUGGGCCAGAGAGGAAACUCAGCAGCCAGAAAAGUCCCCGUGUGGG
rnacentral:SRP_RNA from 1 species